rnacentral:rRNA from 1 species
AACGCAGCGAAGGGCGAUACGUAAUGUGAAUUGCAGAAUUCAGUGAAUCAUCGAAUCUUUGAACGCACCUUGCGCCCCUUGGCAUUCCGAGGGGCACACCCGUUUGAGUGUCGUGAAAUUCUCAAAAACCCCUUCCUUUGGUGGAGAGGAUUUUGGACUUGGAGGUCUUUUUGCUGGUUUCACCUUGAAGCGAGCUCCUCCCAAAUGGAUUGGUGGGGGUCUGCUUUGCCGAUCCUUGACGUGAUAAUAUGUUUCUACGUCUUGGGUUUUUUGCACUGUACCUCUGCUUCUAACCGUCUCAUUGACAACGAUGGUGUUCCGGUCACCGCCGAUUCAUCGGUGGGAGGCUUGACCCACAAAACGACCUUGACCUCAAAUCGGGUGGGACUACCCGCCGAACUUAA